rnacentral:rRNA from 1 species
CCUACGGGUGGCUGCAGUCGAGAAUCUUUCACAAUGGGGGCAACCCUGAUGGAGCGACGCCGCGUGGAGGAUAAGGUCUUCGGAUUGUAAACUCCUAUCAUGCGAGAACAAGGUUGCAGGGCUAACACCUUUGCAAAUUGAUGGUACCGCAAGAGGAAGAGACGGCUAACUCUGUGCCAGCAGCCGCGGUAAUACAGAGGUCUCAAGCGUUGUCGGGAAGGGCUGGGCGGAAGCGGUGUAUGGGUGGCGUGAAAGCCCGGGGCUCAACCUCGGAAUUGCAUCCGAUACUGCCAUGCUGGAGUACUGAAGAGGUGACUAGAAUUCUAGGUGUAGCAGUGAAAUGCGUAGAUAUCUAGAGGAAUACCAACGGCGAAGGCAGGUCACUGGGCAGUUACUGACACUGAGGCACGAAGGCCAGGGGAGCAAACGGGAUUAGAUACCCUUGUAGUC